UGGCCGCCGCCGAUUCGAAGCGGCCUCCUCCGCAACAAACGUCACUGCUCCGCCCCCCCCGGCUGAUUCAUUGGCUGCUAUUCGUUUCUAACGUCCACAUAACAUCCGCCCCAUCCACUGGUCCCAUUGGUUCAGCAGCUGUCUCUCUCUCCUGCGACUUCUCACCUCGAGGCAUUUCCUCUGGUCGAGCUGGUCUGGACUCCGUUCGACCACGAAUCAUGGCUCCUUCCUGCCAGUUACGUCCCCUCUGCACCCUUGCCCAGCCAUUUUACCAGGCCUCUCCACAUUGCCCUGCCCCACGGAAAAGGUCUGAUGUGCACACAGACAACACAUUUGAUAGGCGAAAAUCGUCUUGAUAAUGCCUCAUAUAACAUCCUGUUGCAAAAAAUUACAGAGACCGCUAUUUGCUGAAAGCCUACGUUGGGCUAAGCGUUGUUCAGUGUGCUUUUCAUGUGUCAUUUAGUCUUGACAGUUAAGUACUUGGUAGGCAUUUCCCAUUUUCCAGAUGAGGACAUUGAGACUGAAAAAGAUUAAAUAACUAAACAAGUCACAGAGCUGGUGAGUGAUGGAGUUAGGACUGAUAACCAGGUGGACUUCAUUCUAUUGCUAAUACUUUUAUUUUUAUUUUUUUCAAGACGGAGUAUCACUCUGUUGCCCCCAGGCUGAAGUGCAGUGGUGAAAAAUCAGCUCACUGCAACCUCCGCUUCCGAGGUUCAAGCGAUUCUCCUGCCUCAGCCUCCUGAGUAGCUGGGAUUACAGGCACGCGCCACCAUGCCUGGCUAAUUUUUGUAUGUAUUUUAUUUUUUUAUGGAGAUGGGGUUUCACCAUAUUAGCCAGGCUGGUUUCGAACUCCCAACCUCAAGCGAUCUGCCCGCCUUGGCCUCCCAAAGGGCUGGGAUUACAGGCGUGAGCCGCUGUGCCUCGCCUCUUAACUUUAAAAC